rnacentral:rRNA from 1 species
CCACAUUUGAUCCCCCUCCCUCCCCCACAUAUGGCACCCCAGCUCCCGCUGCCUCCCCUACUCCUCUCCCCGUCCCGUCGCCGCCUCCUCACCCGCCGCCGCCGCCGACGCACUGCAGCACCAGCAGCAUCCUGACCGCGGGUUGGUGACGCCGAGCGCCGUGCAGCAUGGACAUCGACCCUUCCUCCGUCUCCCACGCAGACGGCGGGGGCGACCUGUGGCCGUUCGACUCGCUCACCACGUCCCUCUUCUUCUCCUCCGUCUCCUCCUCCCCGCCGCUCCACCCGCUGCCCGUCGCCUCCUCCUCCUGGCUCACGCCGCCGUCUCCGCUCUGGCUCUUCGAGGACCGCCAGAUGAUGCCGAUCGAGGUGGGCCCUGCGCCCGCCGCGGCGCCGGACAACACCGCCGCCGUCCCAGAGGAGACCCAGCGAGCACGUUCCGGGAAUUCGGACACGCCAAUUAAGAAGACCGAACGUCUUAACAACAAAUGGCAAUUUAACCUAGCUCUGCAUGACGAUAGCACAAACAGCUCAUGCUUGUUCAAGGAGAAGCUGACUCAUGCUCUCAGGUACUUCAAGGAGUCAACAGAUCAACACCUGUUGGUCCAGGUUUGGGCGCCGGUUAAGAGUGGCGAUCGCUAUGUGCUUACUACAUCAGGACAACCCUUUGUACUUGACCACCAGAGCAUUGGGCUGCUUCAGUACAGAGCUGUAUCCAUGAUGUACAUGUUCUCAGUAGAUGGAGAUAAUGCUGGGGAGCUUGGGUUACCUGGACGCGUCUACAAGCAAAAAGUGCCCGAGUGGACACCAAAUGUGCAGUAUUAUAGCAGCACUGAGUACCCACGGCUUAACCAUGCCAUCAGUUACAAUGUUCAUGGUACCGUUGCCUUGCCUGUUUUUGAUCCUUCUGUUCAAUCAUGUAUUGCUGUCGUUGAGCUUAUAAUGACAUCGAAGAAGAUAAACUAUGCUGAUGAGGUUGAUAAAGUCUGCAAAGCUCUUGAGGCAGUAAAUCUUAAAAGCACUGAGAUAUUGGAGCAUCCAAACGUCCAGAUUUGCAAUGAAGGCCGUCAAUCUGCCCUGGUGGAGAUACUGGAGAUCCUGACAGUUGUAUGUGAAGAGCACAAGCUUCCAUUAGCACAAACAUGGGUUCCUUGCAAAUAUCGAAGUGUGUUGGCGCAUGGUGGUGGUGUUAAGAAAAGUUGCUUGAGCUUUGAUGGAAGUUGCAUGGGGGAAGUCUGCAUGUCAACCAGUGAUGUGGCAUUUCAUGUGAUUGAUGCUCAUAUGUGGGGAUUCCGAGAUGCCUGUGUAGAACAUCAUCUACAGAAGGGGCAGGGAGUUUCUGGCAAGGCGUUUAUCUAUCACAGACCUUGCUUUUCAAAAGAUAUCAGUCAGUUUUGUAAGCUGGAGUACCCCCUUGUGCACUAUGCUCGUAUGUUUGGAUUGGCUGGCUGCUUUGCUAUAUGUUUACAAAGUCCUUAUACUGGCGAUGAUUAUUAUAUGCUAGAGUUUUUCCUGCCACCCAGUUGUAAAGAGGAAGAUGAUCAAAAUGCCUUGUUGGAGUCUAUAUUAGGUCUGAUCAAUCAGUGUCUCCGUAACCUAAAGGUAGCUGGUAACGGAGAAUCCAAUGAAGCUUCUCUUCAACUUAGUAAUGUCAUAAUGAUUGAAAGUGAAGAUUUCAAGACAAAUGUGCAUUUUGAGAACUCUGAAGGUUUUCGUGAAUCACCCGAAGGUGAUACACAUGGAGGAGCCCAUGAGUUCGAUAAAGCGAAUAGUAAAGUAUCAGAGGGACAUUUAUUGGCUGAUGAUAACUCUCAGAACAAUGGCGUAUCUGUCUCCAGGCCAAAUGGUAGCGCGGCUUCUGAUUCUUCAUUGCUUCACAAAAAUGGCAAACCCCCUGAAAGGAGACGGGGGAAAGCUGAAAAAACAAUCAGCUUAGAAGUUCUUCAGCAAUAUUUUUCUGGAAGUCUGAAAAAUGCAGCAAAAAGCCUCGGUGUGUGCCCCACAACCAUGAAGCGCAUCUGCAGGCAACAUGGGAUUUCUCGUUGGCCAUCCCGAAAAAUUAACAAGGUCAACCGGUCUCUCUCGAAGUUAAAGCAAGUAAUUGAGUCUGUUCAAGGAUCAGACGCGGCAUUUAACCUGACAUCUAUCACAGGCCCUCUCCCUACUAUUCCUGUUGGUCCUUCAUCAGAUUCUUUCAAUAAAGAGAAAGCAAGUGAAAGUAAAGCAGAACAUUCAAAUCGUGCUGUUGAUGGUGACAGAGAUUCAUCUUUACAGAAGCCACAAGAAAAUGGUAGCCACUUUGGUGCACUCAUGUCCCAGCAAGGAUUUGCAGACACUGGAAACAAUGUUCAACUUGAAGCAGACAAAGCUUCUCUCUCGAGAAGCUCAUCAGGAGAAGGCAGCAUAAAUUCACGUACUUCGGAGGGCUCAUGUCAGGGAAGUCCCGCAAACCAGACGUUUGUUUGCCAGCCUAUUGCUUCAAUGUUCUUGGAACCACAAGAACCACAACUGAAUCCGGAAGGGUUCACAAAAGAACCUUUCCAAGAACCAGAGCUACCACUUUCCAGGAUGCUCAUAGAGGAUUCUGGUAGUUCCAAGGAUUUGAAGAAUCUCUUUGGUUCAGCAAUUGGCCAACCAAUGCUAGCCCCUCCCAGCAAUUUUGGGCCAAUGCGAAAUUCCGGGACUGUGACGAUAAAGGCGAGCUUUAAGGAAGACAUUGUAAGGUUCCGUUUCCCAUGUUCUAGCAGCGUUAUGGCAUUGAAAGAUGAGGUUGCCAAAAGGCUGAGGAUGGAUGCUGGCAUGUUUGAUAUCAAGUACCUUGAUGAUGAUCACGAGUGGGUGAAGUUGGCGUGCAAUGCGGACUUGGAAGAAUGUAUAGAAAUCUCCCGGCAUUCUGGUACCCAUGUCAUCAGGCUCUUGGUUACCGACGUUGCGGCCCACAUUGGUAGUUCUUGUGGAAGCUCCGGUUGAUGCCCAGAUCAGCAUUUUUAACCUUUUUCUUUUUCAAUGGGUAUGUACAAGUUGUUCCAGGAGGUCAGUUUUUACAUGUUGUUAAGCUAGUUGUGUUGCUAGAUAGCAUUAGCAGCUUUACCGUGUUCGACUAAAGCACCAAUUUUUUUCUUGUACGAAUAUGUGUAGCCGCUGCAAGAUGCGCGUGUUGUCGAUGCUGUACAUAUUUAGCACGUGGUGCUGGAAGUCCUGGGGGUACAGUUAAAAACCGAAGCCGUUGUAAUAUGACACUUUUGUUGUCCAGAAAUUGAACAGUUUUGGAAGUUAGUUCCUUCUAUUCACUUUCAGUUCC